AAAUUCCCUAGCCUAAGUGCAAGCUGGCCCUGUGCACUCUUGCUUUGACUCACUCCUGAUCUGAAUCAGCUCCCACUCGAGCUCCUGCACUGCCUGAAGAAUAUUUGUCCGUCUGGCCUGACAGGCUGCCGCCACGUAUCGAGCAUGCUCCAGGGACUUUUCUCAGCAUUAGAAAGGACAAAUUCAGAGAGCAGCCUGAAAGAACUACUCAGACAGCUUUGAGGGAACGUCUGGCUGAUAUGUUCAUAGGGAGCAGAAGAGUUGGUCCCACAGUCAUUUGGGCCUUGUGUAGACCUGUGCCUUUAAAACAAACAAACUUCAAAAGGAAAAUCAAUACCUGAGGUGGAAGAGUUCAUACAUUUCAGAGCCUCAGGUGAGCAAGAUGAUUUGUAUUUUAACACAUGUGAGUUUGUUGAGGAGAAUGCAGCUAUGGACCAGGACAGGCUCCAGAGGGGUUUGACACCCCUGCUGAUGUUGAAGGGAGAGGUGCCCUCAUCAGCUUAGUACAGCCCAGAGAAUCUGGGAGAGAAGCAGCUGCCUGGGCUGGUAUACAGUAGUAAAAAUGGA